GCCCAAGUGGCCCGUCCUACUACUAAAUUUUGGAACUCUGACGAUGCUCUUUCCAACCGCACUGACACCUGCGGCUGUUGCUGCUGCUGCUGCAUGGCCUGCACUACUUCGGUGAGGCCUCUGACCUACUGAACUAGCAGGUCGAAUUGCUCCAUACCGACUGCCGUUACCAGGGGAGGAGGAGGAGUCUGAGAAACCGAAGAUGAGAUCGGAUCUUGCGGAGCUCGCUUAGAUCUGGUCACGGAGGCUAUGGAUCGCCGGGU
rnacentral:lncRNA from 1 species